rnacentral:misc_RNA from 1 species
UGAAGUGUCCCUCCUUACCUUUUUUGA